AUGGGUGCCGGAGGCAGGAUGGCGGAGAAGGAGCGGGAGAAGCAGGAACUGCUCGGCCGCACGGGCGCCGGCACGGCCUUCCAGCGCUCACCGAUGGACAAGCCGCCGUUUACGCUGGGCCAGAUCAAGAUGGCAAUCCCGCCUCACUGCUUCCAGCGCUCCCUGGUCAAGUCCUCCUCCUACUUGGUCCAUGACCUCGUCAUCGUCGCGGCGCUCCUGUACGCCGCGCUGGUCUGGAUCCCAGCCCUCCCAGGCAUGCUCCAGCUGGGCGCCUGGCCGCUCUACUGGGUCGCGCAGGGCUGCAUCAUGUUCGGCGUCUGGGUGAUCGCGCAUGAGUGCGGCCACCACGCCUUCUCUGACUACCCGCUGCUCGACGAUAUCGUCGGCCUGGUGCUCCACUCAUGGCUGCUCGUCCCCUACUUCUCGUGGAAGCACAGCCACCGCCGCCACCACUCCAACACCGGGUCGCUGGAGCGCGACGAGGUGUUCGUCCCAAGGCCGAAAGAGGCGCUGCCGUGGUACACCCCCUAUAUCCACGACAACCCCGUCGUCCAUGUGGUGCUCAUCGUCGUGCAGCUCACCCUUGGGUGGUAUAUGUACCUGCCGCUCAACACCUGGGGCCGCCCGUACCCGCGCUUCGCCUGCCAUUUCGACCCCUACAGCCCGAUCUACAACGACCGGGAGCGCGCCCAGAUUUUUAUCUCAGACGUCGGCGUGCUGGCCGUGUCGUUCGCCAUGUUGAAGCUCGUGUCGACGUUCGGGUUCUGGUGGGUGGUGCGGGUCUACGGCGUGCCGCUGAUGAUCGUGAACGCGUGGCUGGUCCUGGUCACCUACCUGCACCACACCCAUCCGGCGCUGCCGCACUACGACUCGACGGAGUGGGACUGGCUGCGGGGGGCGCUCGCCACCAUGGACCGCGACUACGGCAUCCUCAACCGCGUGUUCCACAACAUCACGGACACGCACAUCUUGCACCACCUAUUCUCCAACAUACCGCACUACCACGCCAUGGAGGCCACCAAGGCGAUCAAGCCCAUCCUCGGCGAGUACUAUCAGUUAGACGCCACCCCCCUCGCUAAGGCCACAUGGCGCGAGGCCAAGGAGUGCCUGUACAUCGAGCGCGAGGACAGCAAGGGGAUCUUCUGGUACAGCAACAAGUUCUAG
rnacentral:rRNA from 1 species